UCUAUAAAUAAUGAAGCACUUUAAAACGGACCAACAAAAAUGUUAAUGAUUACAGAAUCAGUUAUUCAAUUAUUUUUAUUCGGUAACCAUUAAUUGCAAAUAAUAUUAUGUAAAGGAGCAAAAUUAUGAAGCUCACGGGCUCUGCCUUCAAGAAACUUGCGAUUAACUGAGUAAACAAAAAAUUCUAAUAUAGGCAGAAAUUUGUAAGUGUUAUCAUCAUCAUCAACUGUAUCAUCAUUCUACCUAGAGAAGAGAAGAGAUGCAGACAUAUGCAGACAGAAAGCCAAAUGACAACAGCGAUUGGAGUGAGGCAGCUGCAACCCAAGGAACACCAAGGAAAACAGCUCUCAGCACUGUGAAAGCAAAAUCAACAGAGGGGUAGUACACAUCUCUUUGAAAAUCAGCUUGGAGGUCUGGUGGAUUAUAUAAGGAUAAUCACUCAGAAAGAUGUGACAGCAACUCUCAUUAGUAAAAUCUUUUCUCAUCAUUGUACCAACAGUUAUGAAUUCAAAUAAAUGACUCCAAGAAGUUUCCAGAUUUUACCAAUAAUAGAAACUGGCAAAAUAUCCUCAUCUGAGACACUGAAGCCUAGUAGAGCUGUUUCACUUGGUGUGUCUAGUCAAAAGAGUAACUCAUGUGUUUUGAAGAAAAAAAGGGACAAAGCCAUAUAUAUUAUGGCUUCGGACAAUGGGUGGCUUCCUACCUGUGAUUUGAUCCCAUCAGGAAAUCCAGUUAAGAUGA